rnacentral:rRNA from 1 species
CAGAUGAAGUGCUUGCACUUCUGACGUUAGCGGCGAACGGGUGAGUAACACGUAAGGAAUCUACCUAUAAGCGGGGGAUAACAUUCGGAAACGGGUGCUAAUACCGCAUAAUAUCUUCUUCCGCAUGGAAGAAGAUUGAAAGACGGCUCUGCUGUCACUUAUAGAUGACCUUGCGGUGCAUUAGUUAGUUGGUGGGGUAACGGCCUACCAAGACGAUGAUGCAUAGCCGACCUGAGAGGGUGAUCGGCCACAUUGGGACUGAGACACGGCCCAAACUCCUACGGGAGGCAGCAGUAGGGAAUCUUCCGCAAUGGGCGAAAGCCUGACGGAGCAAUGCCGCGUGAGUGAAGAAGGCCUUCGGGUCGUAAAACUCUGUUAUAAGAGAAGAACAAAUUGUAGAGUAACUGCUACAGUCUUGACGGUAUCUUAUCAGAAAGCCACGGCUAACUACGUGCCAGCAGCCGCGGUAAUACGUAGGUGGCAAGCGUUGUCCGGAUUUAUUGGGCGUAAAGGGAGCGCAGGUGGUUUCUUAAGUCUGAUGUGAAAGCCCACGGCUUAACCGUGGAGGGUCAUUGGAAACUGGGAAACUUGAGUACAGAAGAGGAAUGUGGAACUCCAUGUGUAGCGGUGGAAUGCGUAGAUAUAUGGAAGAACACCAGUGGCGAAGGCGACAUUCUGGUCUGUUACUGACACUGAGGCUCGAAAGCGUGGGGAGCAAACAGGAUUAGAUACCCUGGUAGUCCACGCCGUAAACGAUGAGUGCUACGUGUUGGAGGGUUUCCGCCCUUCAGUGCC